rnacentral:rRNA from 1 species
AGUAACGCGUAGGUAACCUACCUCAUAGCGGGGGAUAACUAUUGGAAACGAUAGCUAAUACCGCAUAAGAGAGACUAACUCAUGUUAGUAAUUUAAAAGGGGCAAUUGCUCCACUAUGAGAUGGACCUGCGUUGUAUUAGCUAGUUGGUGAGGUAAAGGCUCACCAAGGCGACGAUACAUAGCCGACCUGAGAGGGUGAUCGGCCACACUGGAACUGAGACACGGUCCAG